UACGUAGGGGGCAAGCGUUGUCCGGAUUUAUUGGGCGUAAAGAGCGUGUAGGCGGCCAGAUAGGUCAGCUGUGAAAACUCGAGGCUCAACCUCGAGACGUCGGUUGAAACCAUCUGGCUAGAGUCCGGAAGAGGAGAGUGGAAUUCCCGGUGUAGCGGUGAAAUGCGCAGAUAUCGUGAGGAAGACCAGUGGCGAAGGCGAAUCUCUGGACAGAUCCUGACGCUGAGGCACGAAGGCUAGGGGAGCAAACGGG
rnacentral:rRNA from 1 species